UGCCUACGGGAGGCAGCAGUGGGGGAUAUUGCACAAUGGGGGAAACCCUGAUGCAGCGACGCCGCGUGGGUGAAGAAGCGCCUUGGCGCGUAAAGCCGUGUCAGCAGGGAAGAAAAUGACGGUACCUGAAGAAGAAGCCCCGGCUAACUACGUGCCAGCAGCCGCGGUAAUACGUAGGGGGCAAGUGUUAUCCGGAUUUACUGGGUGUAAAGGGGGCGCAGACGGCGAUGCAAGCCAGGAGUGAAAGCCCGGGGCCAAACCCCGGGAGUGCUCUUGGAGCUGCGUGGCUAGAGG
rnacentral:rRNA from 1 species